rnacentral:lncRNA from 1 species
GAGCUGUGCCGCUGAGCUAAAUCCCCAACGCCCGCAGUAACAAUAAUGAAAGAAGGGUCAGUCAGUACUCCGGUGAUUCCGACCCAGAUGCUCAUGCCCUUCAUUUUGAAGAAGGUGAUUUGCGCCCUUGGCAGACUUGCACGAUCUGUACCAUGGA